GCGUCCUUCUUCAUCAAUCUUCAUCAGUCCAAAAGCAGUGGCACGCUUUUCAUCCAUUGGCAAUGCAGCAACAGUAAUAUCAGCAUCCGUCUCUCUGUGUGCUUGAAUAAACUUCUCAUAAUCCAUGCGAUACAAGUGAUCUCCAGCAAGAAUCAAGAACUCUAAAACAUUAUGCUCCUCAAAAAGCCACAGAUACUGCCUCACAGCAUCAGCAGUACCCUGAAACCAAUUGGGGUUUUCCGGGCUCUGCUGUGCCGCAAGUACCUCGACAAAUCCUUCAUUCUGGUACCCACCCAUGUUGCUCGCAUAAGCCCGCGACAAGUGGCGAUUAAGUGAGGCGGAAUUGAACUGAGUGAGUACAUAAAUUUUUGAGAUGUCGCUGUUCAAGCAGUUGCUGACUGGAAUGUCGAUCAGCCGGUAGUUCGCUCCCAACGGAACCGCUGGCUUGGCUCUCUUCUUCGUUAAUGGGUACAGUCGUG
rnacentral:misc_RNA from 1 species